rnacentral:rRNA from 1 species
GAUGAACGCUGGCGGCGUGCCUAAUACAUGCAAGUCGAGCGAACGGACGAGAAGCUUGCUUCUCUGAUGUUAGCGGCGGACGGGUGAGUAACACGUGGAUAACCUACCUAUAAGACUGGGAUAACUUCGGGAAACCGGAGCUAAUACCGGAUAUUAUUUUGAACCGCAUGGUUCAAAAGUGAAAGACGGUCUUGCUGUCACUUAUAGAUGGAUCCGCGCUGCAUUAGCUAGUUGGUAAGGUAACGGCUUACCAAGGCAACGAUGCAUAGCCGACCUGAGAGGGUGAUCGGCCACACUGGAACUGAGACACGGUCCAGACUCCUACGGGAGGCAGCAGUAGGGAAUCUUCCGCAAUGGGCGAAAGCCUGACGGAGCAACGCCGCGUGAGUGAUGAAGGUCUUCGGAUCGUAAAACUCUGUUAUUAGGGAAGAACAUAUGUGUAAGUAACUGUGCACAUCUUGACGGUACCUAAUCAGAAAGCAACGGCUAACUACGUG